AUUGAACGCUGGCGGCAGGCCUAACACAUGCAAGUCGAGCGGAUGAAGGGAGCUUGCUCCUGGAUUCAGCGGCGGACGGGUGAGUAAUGCCUAGGAAUCUGCCUGGUAGUGGGGGAUAACGUCCGGAAACGGGCGCUAAUACCGCAUACGUCCUGAGGGAGAAAGUGGGGGAUCUUCGGACCUCACGCUAUCAGAUGAGCCUAGGUCGGAUUAGCUAGUUGGUGGGGUAAAGGCCUACCAAGGCGACGAUCCGUAACUGGUCUGAGAGGAUGAUCAGUCACACUGGAACUGAGACACGGUCCAGACUCCUACGGGAGGCAGCAGUGGGGAAUAUUGGACAAUGGGCGAAAGCCUGAUCCAGCCAUGCCGCGUGUGUGGAGAAGGUCUUCGGAUUGUAAAGCACUUUAAGUUGGGAGGAAGGGCAGUAAGUUAGUACCUUGCUGUUUUGACGUUACCAACAGAAUAAGCACCGGCUAACUUCGUG
rnacentral:rRNA from 1 species